UACGUAGGGUGCGAGCGUUAAUCGGAAUUACUGGGCGUAAAGCGUGCGCAGGCGGCGCGUUAAGACAGGUGUGAAAGCCCCGAGCUUAACUUGGGAAUUGCGCUUGUGACUGGCGUGCUGGAGUGUGGCAGAGGGAGGUGGAAUUCCACGUGUAGCAGUGAAAUGCGUAGAGAUGUGGGAGGAACACCGAUGGCGAAGGCAGCCUCCUGGGCCAGCACUGACGCUCAUGCACGAAAGCGUGGGGAGCAAACAGG
rnacentral:rRNA from 1 species